rnacentral:rRNA from 1 species
UGGGGAAUAUUGGACAAUGGGCGAAAGCCUGAUCCAGCCAUGCCGCGUGAGUGACGAAGGCCUUAGGGUUGUAAAACUCUUUCGUCGGGGACGAUAAUGACGGUACCCGAAGAAGAAGCUCCGGCUAACUUCGUGCCAGCAGCCGCGGUAAUACGAAGGGAGCUAGCGUUGUUCGGAAUCACUGGGCGUAAAGCGCACGUAGGCGGAUAGUUAAGUCAGGGGUGAAAUCCUGGGGCUCAACCCCAGAACUGCCUUUGAUACUGAUAGUCUUGAGAUCGGGAGAGGUGAGUGGAAUUCCUAGUGUAGAGGUGAAAUUCGUAGAUAUUAGGAAGAACACCAGUGGCGAAGGCGGCUCACUGGCCCGAUACUGACGCUGAGGUGCGAAAGCGUGGGGAGCAAACAGGAUUAGAUACCCGUAGUAGUCCCUGAGCGGGCUGGCAAGGCGCAU